GAAUUUAGAGAGUGGGCAGGAGUUGAAUUGAUGAAGAGAUUACUUUAGAGAGCCCUAAUCCACCCUUUCACCUUGAGUGGGAGGUGUAAACUUUUCAUCACAAGCUUAGAGACAACCACUCGGAAAACUGUGUUCUCUAAGUUGGGAGACAUAGAGUACCCGUGCCUGAUACACAUAUGAGGAAGCUUAAUGUGGCUCUGGACACGGGCCUGAGUUCCACCUGGGACAUCCAGACAGUAAGAGAAGGCAUUGACUACUUGGGAAGGGAGGCAGGGAAAGACUGCUCCUACAGGAUCAUCCAGAUUCCCAGAGUUUUGUGGGGCAAAGAUGUGCAUUCUCAGGGACUGAUGGCUUGGACUGUACCAGAUCUUGCCCAAUAGAGCCCUCUGGAGCAGACUGAGAUCUUUUGCAGAAACAAACUGAUGUGGAUCUGUUAGUGAACCAUACUUGGAUUGGCUCAGCUGCACACAGUAAAGCCAGUCUACUGGUUGUGGUGAAGGAAAGUGCAGCAUUUACCUCAAGGAGUCCAGAUUAGCUAGUGCUCAAAGCACCUGAACUCCCAGGUGGGUUUCAGCAAAGCAUUUCUAAACACAAGGUGUCGAGAAGCCCCCAUCCACCACCGGCAGAGAAAGCCCAAGUACCACAAUAGACCCAGUGCAGCCAAAAUUAAAAAAAUAAACAGAAGGUGAAGGAGGGAAGUGGCAGGGUAUAUGAUCAGCUUGUGCCCAGUUCUCUGGCUGACUGAUGAUGUGGUAACAGGGUCCUGUGACAGGGGUUAACUUUAUCCGUCCUCAGUCUUCAGUAGGUCUGUGGGCUGUGUACUCAUAGUCAUCAAAGAGUUAAUUUCUUCCAUCUGGUGGAGUUUUUUUCACAUCUGUAAAACAGCUCAGGAAAUGUGCAUCAGAUACUAUUAUCUAGAUACUUCAGAGAAGAGCUAAAGCAGAGGAUAUUAGGGAGAGGUCUGUCCCAGGAAGGCCCCACAGGGUCCUGCUCCAUUACAGAUCCCCUGGUUGCCCAGGCGAUGAUGAAGGAAUCCAGCAAAUUUUAUCUGCCCUUUCAAGAGUCCUGCUUGAGAGAAGGGCUUAGUAGAGAUGUUAUGAUUAUCAACUGUCAGGCUUGGGUUAAGAGCACGGAGGCACUGAGCCAAGCAGGCCCUGGUGGAUUGCCUUUCCUCUCUCCAUGCCCUCGACUCACCUUUGGCCCUUAUGGGAUCCCAGACUGCAACUCACCUGGCUGGAGAAGGUGGCUCAUGACUUUCUCUCCUGAUCAGAAGAGAAGAGAUUUGACAAUCCAGUUCACCAGCAGGGCAUAAGACUCAGAGGGCUGGACUUGAGAAAAGAGGAAGGAAGACUAGAGACAGAUGUCUGAGUAAUCAUGGAACCAUGAGAGGACAAACGUCUGGCAAAGACUGAUCUUCAGAGUAUUUCAGAUGAUCUCUGGGGAUAGAGGUGAUACCAUGAGGGAGCAGGCACAGAAGAAAAAUAGGGGGACUUUUCUGGUGGUCCAGUGGUUAAGAAUUUGCCUGCCAGUGCAGGGGACACAGGUUCCAUCCCUGGUCCAGGAAGAUCCCACAAGCAGCAGGGCAACUAAUUCUGAGAGCCACAACUACUGAAGCCCGUACACGUGGAGCCUGUGCUCCAAAACAAGCAAAAUGGCAUAUGAGAGCCACAAACGCCUUUGUUUUGUUUCUGUAUAAAAACGAAUCUGCCACACAGAGUUUUUGCCAGGCUACUGCGGUUCAUACUCUUUCUUUGAGCAUAGCCGUGAAGAGUUAAUGGCUGCAUAUCUGCCAUCCUCCUGGAAUUUAACCCUGGAAUUGGGCAGCUGACUAAGCAGUGAAGUCUUUUUUACAGACCCCUAAGCUAAAACAAACAAAGAAGCAGAUAUAUG
ensembl:lncRNA